GAAGCGAUCCUGAAUCGGCCGAAGCAGCAGCGCGGUCGCGAGCGGGGCCCGGCUUUUCGUCUCGUCCGGCGUGAGGGGAGAGUGAUUGGGGUGAAGCUACCCUUCACUGUUGUACACCACCAUCAAGAGAGAGAAUUUACUUCAAAGGACGAAAUCCAAAGCAAAGCGAGCACUGUAUGUGGAAGAGAACAACGAAGGAGAUGAGACGAGGCCCCUGCCUUUAAAGAGCUGCCGACCUAAAGGAGGAAAGGAGUCAUAAAUUGUGGGAGCAGGGGAGAAUAUCAAGGAUAUCUAACAGUACAGAAUGCAAGCUGGAAAGCAGGGGGUGAAGAGAGCGAUGGAGAGAAAGCCGGAGGAGCGCCGUGAAGCCAAAGCAGCCCGGUGAUUAAAAUCAAGGGGUUCACCCUUGCUAGUGGUGUCCCUGCGUCUCCCGCGUCCGCCUGGGGCCGACUCGUGUCUGCGGGACAGGAUUGAGACCCGAGGCCCUGGUGGAACGCGUUUCCUAGCUUUCCGGAAACCGUCUUCGCACCUGGAUGGGGAGCCCCUGCAGGCCUCAACUCCAGGACAAGAUCCCAGUUGCCUGCGGCGUACCAAAGACCGGGGUGUAAUUAUGAGGCUCCAAGGUUGCCCGCAAGCGUAGCGCUUUACGUUGGGCUGCUCACCGAUGGAUGAAGUCGCCACGCUGCGAGUGUACGCCAGCCGCCUCUCGAACCAAACUGCUGGAUCCAGGAACUUCUCCAUGCAGAAAUAGCGGAACACCGGCUGAAAAUUAUUGCAGACCUCCAGGAAGGUUUCGUAUUUUUCUUCAAAGGAUUUCUUCUGUAUAUCCUUUUAAAUGAAUAGCAGAUGAUUAAAAGGCCGUUUCUGUCAUGAACUCAAUCAAAUCGUUAUGAUCCAAAAACCUCCUAAAUCCCUUGUGGUCACGAGAUUUGCUCCCUCAGUGGUCGGAUUUGAUCGCAAUGGGUUUGUUUUUUGUUUUGCAUUUAGGGGGAGGGGAAGUGGUGUCGCGUUAAACGUAAGGAGCCUCCCCUGCAAAAACAGGCCUCGCACAAUCUAUAAGGUUCCUGUGAAAGCUGAGGAGGAUGACAAAAAAAUAUAGCAUUCCUACAUGGGAUUUCUGUCCAUGUGAUGGAGUUGCUGGUAGUUUAAGGCCGUAAGCUCAUCGGGGGCAGGGAAUGUGUCUGUUUACUGUUGUACCGUACUCUCUCCCUGCACACGAUAAGGGCUCAAAUACUGCUGAAUGAAUGGAAUAAAUAAGGCAACAUAAGGUUUAUGAUCUGGGGCAGCGGGGGUCCCAACGUCAACAACUGAAGAGCAGCAGACCCAAACUAUAAUUUGGCCGAGACACUCCGAAAAAAAGAAAAAAAUUAAUUAGCCUGUGAGCAGGUGUCCUCAGAGAGGAGAGAAGGGAGUGGCACCGCCGGGAUGGCGGAGGCGACAUCGAAUAAAAGGUUGCCGAUGGAUCCAUCUGUCAGUCAAUGGUAUUUACUGAGCGCUUACUAUGUGCAGAGCACUGUCCUCAGCUCUGGGGACGGUACAGUACAGCAGAAUUAGCAGCCACGUUCCCUGCCCACAACGAGCUCACAGUGUAGAGGGGAUCUGAUCGUAGCCACCCCGUCUUCCUUCACUCAGUAUUUUCAGACGAGACGCUCGCAUCCUGAAGUACACUAGUCCUACGACGCGAAGGAAGCAUUUGAGAAAAGGCCAACGGUCCGACUACUACUUACCAUCAUUUUCUGCUGGCACUGUAGAGCACUGAAGUCCUUUGGCCUAUACCUCUUAUGGGCUCCAUUUUCACUGUUGACCAGGAAUUCGCCGAUGGGCACGGUCCCCGUGCACCACUCCAGGACCCCGCUUCGUUGAGACAGGGGAACCACCUAAAGGAGCCCAAGAAACAGCGUUAGGGGCAUCACGGGGCCUUCCGGGAGCUGCCGCGGCCCAACUCGGUCCAGCAGAACCCAGGAGGGUUUUUAUUUCCUUAUUUGCUUUUUAUUGAGGCUCUCUACGGAUUUACUUUGCCGCCCCCGGUUUCUGUGGCACAGCUAAGUGAGAAGCUCCUUUUAGCAUUCCUUCAUUAAUUCAAAUUUUUUGAGGUCUCACUGUAGGCAGAGCACUCUACUAAGCGCUGGGGAGAGUACAAUACAACCAAAACCAGACCUGUUCCCUGCCCACAACGACCUUACACUCAGCAAGCAGUAAACCUCAUUGGAACAAUAUAUUUUAGUUCAGC